rnacentral:rRNA from 1 species
UGGGGAAUAUUGCGCAAUGGGCGAAAGCCUGACGCAGCGACGCCGCGUGAGGGAUGAAGGUUUUCGGAUCGUAAACCUCUGUCAGAAGGGAAGAAACCGCACUGUGCUAAUCAGCAGUGCCUUGACGGUACCUUCAAAGGAAGCACCGGCUAACUCCGUGCCAGCAGCCGCGGUAAUACGGAGGGUGCAAGCGUUAAUCGGAAUUACUGGGCGUAAAGCGCACGUAGGCUGCUUUGUAAGUCAGGGGUGAAAUCCCACGGCUCAACCGUGGAACUGCCUUUGAUACUGCUUAGCUUGAAUCCGGGAGAGGGUGGCGGAAUUCCAGGUGUAGGGGUGAAAUCCGUAGAUAUCUGGAGGAACAUCGGUGGCGAAGGCGGCCACCUGGACCGGUAUUGACGCUGAGGUGCGAAAGCGUGGGGAGCAAACAGG